GACGAACGCUGGCGGCGUGCUUAACACAUGCAAGUCGAGCGAUGAAGCUUUUUCGGAAGUGGAUUAGCGGCGGACGGGUGAGUAACACGUGGGUAACCUGCCUCAUAGAGGGGAAUAGCCUUCCGAAAGGAAGAUUAAUACCGCAUAAGAUUGUAAUAUCGCAUGAUAUAGCAAUUAAAGGAGUAAUCCGCUAUGAGAUGGACCCGCGUCGCAUUAGCUAGUUGGUGAGGUAACGGCUCACCAAGGCGACGAUGCGUAGCCGACCUGAGAGGGUGAUCGGCCACAUUGGGACUGAGACACGGCCCAGACUCCUACGGGAGGCAGCAGUGGGGAAUAUUGCACAAUGGGGGAAACCCUGAUGCAGCAACGCCGCGUGAGUGAUGACGGUCUUCGGAUUGUAAAGCUCUGUCUUUAGGGACGAUAAUGACGGUACCGUAAGAAUAAGCACCGGCUAACUACGUGCCAGCAGCCGCCGCCG
rnacentral:rRNA from 1 species